rnacentral:rRNA from 1 species
UCAGUGCAGGCCUUAAUACGGUGAAACCGCGAAUGGCUCAUUAAAUCAGCUAUGGUUUAUUGGAUCGUACCCGUUAAAUGGAUAACUGUAAUAACUCUAGAGCUAAUACAUGCCAUGAUGCCCUGACCUCGCUAGUUACUAGUUGGGGGAUGGGUGCACUUAUUAGAUCAGAAGCCAACCAGCACAUGCGUUUGCGCUCUUUUGGGGCGAGGGCGUGUGGGCUGUAGUACUUCUGGUGACUCUGGAUAAUUGUUACAGAUCGCAGUCGGCCUUGAGUCGGCGACGGGUCCUUCAAAUGUCUGCCCUAUCAACUUUCGAUGGUAGGUGACCUGCCUACCAUGGUGAUAACGGGUAACGGGGAAUCAGGGUUCGAUUCCGGAGAGGGAGCCUGAGAAACGGCUACCACUUCCAAGGGAGGCAGCAGGCGCGCAAAUUACCCACUCCCAGUACGGGGAGGUGGU